rnacentral:tRNA from 1 species
GGGCACUUAGCUCAGCGGCAGAGCACCGCUUUCACACGGCGGGGGUCACUGGUUCAAUCCCAGUAGUGCCCACCA